UAAAGCUCCUUUUCAGCUCAAAACUUCAAAAACCCACCACCCAAAAGAAAUUCGAAAAUCUCAUUCAUGUCUUAAAUUAAAACUCUGCACAAACUCAAACUGCAGAAUCCCAGAAUUUUCUUUUCCCUUCUCCUCUGUGUGUUCUUUUUUCUCAAUUUUCGGUCAGCCCACCUUUUUUCUUGUGCGUUGAAGUUGAUGAUGGGAAAGAUCAAGACUUCUUUGCAAACUGCAAACUUAGCUCAGAAGGAUACAUUAUGCAAUUAGGUACAUGGAUUUCUGGCUAAAAUGGAACAAGAAGG